CAGCUGACGAGUCCCAAAUAGGACGAAACGCGCGUCCUGGAU
rfam:Schistosoma rodhaini strain Burundi genome assembly, scaffold: SROB_scaffold0021251